rnacentral:rRNA from 1 species
GACGAACGCUGGCGGCGUGCUUAACACAUGCAAGUCGAACGGAAAGGCCCUGCUUUUGUGGGGUGCUCGAGUGGCGAACGGGUGAGUAACACGUGAGUAACCUGCCCUUGACUUUGGGAUAACUUCAGGUAACUGGGGCUAAUACCGGAUAGGAGCUCCUGCUGCAUGGUGGGGGUUGGAAAGUUUCGGCGGUUGGGGAUGGACUCGCGGCUUAUCAGCUUGUUGGUGGGGUAGUGGCUUACCAAGGCUUUGACGGGUAGCCGGCCUGAGAGGGUGACCGGCCACAUUGGGACUGAGAUACGGCCCAGACUCCUACGGGAGGCAGCAGUGGGGAAUAUUGCACGAUGGGCGGAAGCCUGAUGCAGCAACGCCGCGUGCGGGAUGACGGCCUUCGGGUUGUAAACCGCUUUCGCCUGUGACGAAGCGUGAGUGACGGUAAUGGGUAAAGAAGCACCGGCUAACUACGUG